GGUCCCUUAGCUCAGCUGGAUAGAGCACUGGUCUUCGAAACCAGGUGUCAGAGGUUCGAAUCCUCUAGGGACCG
rfam:Rhizobiales bacterium TMED94 53847, whole genome shotgun sequence.